rnacentral:rRNA from 1 species
CCUACGGGAGGCAGCAGUGAGGAAUAUUGGACAAUGGGCGCAAGCCUGAUCCAGCCAUGCCGCGUGCAGGAAGACGGUCCUAUGGAUUGUAAACUGCUUUUGUACAGGAAGAAACACUCCCUCGUGAGGGAGCUUGACGGUACUGUAAGAAUAAGGAUCGGCUAACUCCGUGCCAGCAGCCGCGGUAAUACGGAGGAUCCAAGCGUUAUCCGGAAUCAUUGGGUUAAAGGGUCCGUAGGCGGUUUAAUAAGUCAGUGGUGAAAUCUGGUCGCUCAAACGAUCAAAACGGCCAUUGAUACUGUUAGACUUGAAUUAUUAGGAAGUAACUAGAAUAUGUAGUGUAGCGGUGAAAUGCUUAGAUAUUACAUGGAAUACCAAUUGCGAAGGCAGGUUACUACUAAUGGAUUGACGCUGAUGGACGAAAGCGUGGGGAGCGAACAGGAUUAGAUAACCCUGGUAGUCCACGCCGUAAACGAUGGAUACUAGACUNUUCGGAGCAAUCUGAGUGCUAAGCGAAAGUGAUAAGUAUCCACCUGGGGANACGUUCGCAAGAAGAGAAAGUAAAGUAAAGUAGAGACGNGAGAGAGACGAGAGACGACGAGGAGGAGGAG